rnacentral:lncRNA from 1 species
ACCUACUGGGCAGAGAUGAGUCUUUCUAGCAUCUCGAAGAGUCGGUCGACAUCCUCUCUAAGCAACCCAUCCCGGGUUGCUCUGUUCAGUGGGGCCCUUCCUAUCAUCAUGUCUUUGUACCUGUAUUUCACAAUGAAGGGUUGAAUGUCGGGUUGUAUCAAAUGAUUCUAAUCUUUUGUACAAGGAAUAGUUUCGAGAAACGCGACUCGAAUACUAACAUUAAAGGCCCAAAACGCGAAGGAAAUGAAUAUAUAUUGUAUUGGUGGAAGCGAUUAAAAGUUUAAGAU